rnacentral:rRNA from 1 species
GAUGAACGCUAGCUACAGGCUUAACACAUGCAAGUCGCGGGGUAACAUCUGGUAGAGCUUGCUCUUCCAGGAUGACGACCGGCGCACGGGUGAGUAACGCGUAUCCAACCUGGCCCAUACCACGGGAUAGCCCGUCGAAAGGCGGAUUAAUACCGUAUGCUGUCAUUAAGAUGCAUAUAUUGAUGACGAAAGGACUGGCGGUAUGGGAUGGGGAUGCGUCUGAUUAGCUUGUUGGCGGGGUAACGGCCCACCAAGGCGACGAUCAGUAGGGGUUCUGAGAGGAAGGUCCCCCACAUUGGAACUGAGACACGGUCCAAACUCCUACGGGAGGCAGCAGUGAGGAAUAUUGGUCAAUGGGCGCAAGCCUGAACCAGCCAAGUAGCGUGAGGGAUGACUGCCCUACGGGUUGUAAACCUCUUUUGUUGGGAAUAAAGUGCGGGACGUGUCCCGCAUUGCAUGUACCAUUUGAAUAAGGACCGGCUAAUUCCGUGCCAGCA